GCACGUGCCUGUGGGCCCAGCUACUCAGGAGGCUGAGGUGGGAGGAUGGUUUGGGCGUGGGAGGUUAAGCCUGCAGUGAACCAUGAGCCGUGACAGUACCUGCCCCACAGACUUGGUGUGAGGUUGAAUUCAUAGGUAUGAAGUGUAAGGUGAAUUUCUAGUCCACACCUAGUCAACUUUUCUGGAGUGCCUGUCAAUGGCAACACUCUUCUCCUGAGAAAGUUCUCCCUCCAUCCCCUGUGGCCAGGCUUCCUCCGGCAUGCCUCUUCCUCAGUGAUCACCCCUUCUGUCUGUACUUCCCAUAUGUCCACAUGAUCUCCGGAAGGCACCGGAUUGAGGUGUUGUGCCCCACCUUCCUGUUUCCCCCACUGAGCAGGGGUGGCUGGGGCACCCGGUGCCUUGGCAGCUGAGCUGCCUCUUGGCGGGUCUCCCUCCCAGCUCUACAGUCUGCAUUCUUCUCCGGUCAUUGCCUCAAGUUUGAUGGAGAAGUAGGUGGUAUUGUCUGUGUUUUCCUGGGAGCCCAGAUGUCUUUGGAUGUUUCUCUGACUGCAAGGCUGUUCCUGCAGAAAAUAAUAUCACACCAAGUGGGUGCAGAACAAUUCAGGUGCCUUUGGGCUUGGACUUUCCUGGCAACCAGUGACAGAAACUGACGUUUUACCAUCUGGAAAGCACUGAAUUUUUUUUUCUUUUCGUUAAAUGAAAAGCCUUAAUUCCUUAAUCCUGAGAAAUGUCAAAGACCCUGUGCGUCUCCUCACAGCCUUGAGGCCUUUGGCAGAAGCGGAAUGCGGUCAGGACCCUGGACAGUUCCCCGCAUCUACCCUGGGGCUUCCCUGUUGGCCCGGGCCCCACUCCCGGGCAGUGCCCACCUCUCCUUCUCCACUCCUUCCCUUCCCGCUCACUCUGCUCCCCUUUCCCCAGUGGCCGAAAAUCAAUAAGUACACCCCUGUCCACUUUAUCUCUCGUUCAUUCAGACUCCUGCUAGGUGAGCCGCACCAGUGCUGUGCCACGGUCCUCUUGGAGGCCCAGGGAGGAUGGAGAUGUGACAAGUGUGGCCUCAAGGAGAGCACAGCUUAGGGGUUGGGGGCAUCUGGUCACAGGUCUGGCUAGUGCGCAGCUGGGGUGUGAGAGGAUGCUGCUGAGAGUACAGGCAAGGGACCUUUCCCCAGCCAGGGGGUGGGCUGGGAUGGGGAAGACCUGAGCUGAGAAUCCUGGGGGGUGAGAAGGGCUUAGCCUGACAGGAGCAUUCCAGGCAGAGGGGCCACUUGAGUGCAGACGUGCAGCCAGGAAAAUGUGUUGGGGCGGGAGGUGGAUUCCUCCAGGAGCCAGAAUUGCUGCCACAUAAGGGGGGGUGCUAAAGGGGAAUGUGGCUGAGACCCAGGUCCAAAAGGACCUCAUGUGCCCCACCAGGGUGUUCAGAAGGAUCCCGUAGGUGGCUGUGGAGUGGCCAGCGGGGGCGUAUCACCCCUAAAGGCCGUCUGCAGCCAGCCUACACUCAAGGGUCCAGGGACUUGGGGGCUUUCCUUUUAGGCGUCAGUGGCACCCUGACUGGGACUUUAAAGAGGAUGAGUUUGGAACCCCCAAACCAAACCACACCUCAUUUAUAGAGGCCCUGGUGUGUGCCAGAGAUCUUUUGAAGUACAUCCACGGGCUCGUCCCUCUCAGACGAAGCUUGAUCUCAAAAGUAUCAGCAGGGAUUUUGGGCAAGAUGGAGCAGCGAUGUCUGCCUUCACCUCUCCAGUUCCAGCUCAGGCAGCCUUGCCUCUGGUCUCAUCCCAGAGCAGCAGGCCUGGCUCUGGUGAGCAGUUAUAAGCCCUUCAGAGCCAAUGCAAAUGGCUCCUUCAUCAAGCAGAGAGGAAAUAUUGAUCCCAUCCAAGUAAUCCCGAGUCCCUGUAGGCUUCGAUGCCUCCUAUCCAGGCUGCUAGGCCCGCUGAACCUGUGGCAUACAAAUCUGAGGUACAGAUUAGAGACGAGAGCUGCAUAAUAAAAAAUAAAUCCCCUGCUUCCACUCUACUGUACUUUCAUCGCCAUUUGAGAAGCUCGUCUCUGCGCACUCCCCAUCGCCCCCAACAUCACUGUCAGGGCUGACUUCAUAGCAUUCCAGUUUUAAAAUAAUGAUGGCCCCCCUUUUCAUGGAAUGAGUACUUCUGGGACUGUUUUAAAUAUUCUUCAUCAAACUAGCACACAUCCUCAGAGCAACACUGCUGGCGGGGAUGGCUGCCUCUUUAAACAUUUAACACACUCGGUUCAUGUCUUUGCCUGCAGGAUCCACAAAGACUUCUCUCCUUCCAAGAGAUUCUACUGUCCCUCUCCUUACGGGUGGCUCUGUCCUUGACGAAACUCUUAAUGGAGACCCAAACUCUUGGGCUAAUCUCCUUGUGUAACAUUAAAAUACACCUACCCAAUGAAAGUCCAUUCUGACCUCGGCAUCAUGGGAACCACCUGCACGUAGCACACCUUUGGCUUUGCUGCCUGCUACUGAGUGCUCCAGAGUCUGGCUGAGUGGCAUGGAGGUUUCCCACACAGAGAACAGUGCCGUGCAGAUGGUCUCCUUGGUUCCCAGCUGAAUUCUCAAGCUCUUUCAGCCGGCCCAGAAUCUGAGGCCCAGCUGAGGGUGCAUCCCAUCAGGGCAGCAGGUGGGUUCCUGGAUUGGGGCAAAAACUUCAGGGCACAGCAUUGCAAACACUGCCAGGAGGUGACAGGGGCCUGCAAAGUCACCCAGCCCCACCCCAGCCUCACGCUUCUCUACCGAGGGCCAGCAGGAAAGAUGUCCCCCAGGCCAUUCAUCACUAACCCAAGAUCAAACCCCAGUCUUCUGACGGUUCGCCUCUGUCUGUCUUCUUGUCACUUUCGCCCAGGGCUAAGGGAAUCUUCUCUUCAUAGUAUGUAGAAGCCGGGAUUGGCUGGAGGGAAGCCACAGUCUGGAUCCCUACCAGGCUUCUCUUUUAAAUAAGCAACUUCUAAACACUUGAGUACUUAACUUUUCCUAUUUACUAAUCUUCUGGGGAAAUACUUUGAACAGGGGUAGGCACCCAGUCUUCUAGCUUGGCCUUGUGGGCUGUGUGCUGGCAGAUGAUGCCCUCAGUGGGUGCAUUAGAAGAGCAUCCCUUGUUCAAGCUCAGCGCUCCUGGGUGCUACUCACCCACAGUCCUGCCCCCUGGUGGUGGGAAGCAAACAGUGGCCCAAAGCAGCCCCUGCACCUGCACCCAGAAUCAUCUCAGGGAGCCUGUGAACCCCUGGGUCCUGGUCCCCAGCCUGGUUCGCCAUCGAGGAGCUGGAAGGCGAUUCCCAGCAGUCGGCCUCCAGAGUCUGUUUCUUACCCGCAUACAGCACCACCAGCCUCCACUCUGGCCCGGAAGCAUGCCCCCGGGGGCAGGAUGAUGAUCAGGGCCUUUGGGCACUCGGGAGCCCCUGAAGACAAUCCCUGGGUCACCGAGAAACACAAGGGCCCCUGUUUCAGAACCCCUAGCAGGAACUGUAAGUUUCCAUUUAAAUCAAAUCAAAUACCCCAAGUUGAAAGUAUUCAGAAAAUUCUGAGAAAAAAAAA